CAGAGUUCGUGCCCUCACGGGUAGAUCUCCCACCCUGUGUUAUUAUACCUUUGUUGCUUUGGCGGGCCGCCCUCGGCUACCGGCCCCGGCUGGUACGCGCCUGCCAGAGGACCUAAAACUCAUGUUAAUAAUAUUGUCUGAGUACUAUAUAAUAGUUA
rnacentral:misc_RNA from 1 species